UUCUGGUGAUCUUUACUGCUCCCUCCUUGAACCACAGGCAGGCCCUUGGAUCGAGCCCUCGGAUUAAGCUCUGCGGUGGGACCAGGAGCUCCCGCAGCCGCGCAUGAUUCACGCUGCGUGUGCGUGCCAAGCUCCUUAUUUACACAGCGUCUGCAUCACAGUUUAUCUUGUUCUGGCUCCUUCGCUGGAACUGGCAGGGACAGCAGACACGGGCGGUUGAAUCACCACCUCCUGCAGCUGUGCCAGAGCCUCUGCACGCUCUUCUUUACACUCC